rnacentral:lncRNA from 1 species
GCCCGGGCCAAGGGCCGACCGGCCGGAUCCCGCCCGCGGCGAGGAGCGAGUCCUCCUCCGGUCCUCGGCCCCUCGGGGUCUUUCCAGGGGGGCUAGAAGGGUGGGCAGAGGGCCGGCCUGGGGUCAGGGACCCAGCUAGAGUGCGGCAGGUGGGGAGUGCGGCGGCUCAGGCCGGCGAGUGGAGUGGGGGGUAGGGGUCACCUGUGGGGAGGAGGGGGCGCGCACGGGCGGGGGAGCAGGGUGACACUCAGCCCGCCCUGCAUCCCUGAGCUGGGGGUGCUGCGCCGACCUCCCUUCCCUGGCUAGGCCGAGUGACUUGAGCCUGCAUAACUUUUAUUUUUGAAGGGAGUGGACAUAUCCUGGGCCAUACAGUCCCCGAAUGGGGACAGCUCCAGUGUGCGUCCGCGGGGUUUGAGUGUGGGGCUGAGUUCAGCCAGGGUCAAAUAACAAACACCCCCGCUGUUCGGUGGAGCCCUCGUGCGUUUGGUGUUGUGCCCAAGAUUGCGGAUCUGAGAAACCGCCAAGGAGCCGACACCGAUGCAAACACACGAGGGUUUAUUUACAAGCUCGAGCUUGGGUCCAAGUGUACCCGACACAGCGGAGCAGAGACUUGGAGCCCGAAGUGGGUUACAGCUGGGUUUUUUAUAGGCUGGUCUAGGGGAUUUUCAGAAGGGGUGGAGGAAUUUCUCAAGUUCUGUUUACAUUCUGGUAUGGGGCUUAAGAGCAUUGAGCUCUGUUCUCAUUCUAAUAUGGGACUUUCUACCGGGGUGGGCUCUGUUGUCUUUCUGAUAUGGGAUUCUCUGCCGAGGGCAAUUCUGAGCUCUGUUGUCUUUCUGAUAUGGGAUUACCUGCCCUGCCGAGGACAUUGAGGACAUUCUGCAGUUUUUCCCAUAAAGUUCAGUCUUAUUCACAGGGACCUAAGAUGGCCGUACUUGUGCUAAUGCUAAACUUUAGGUGGGAUGGCCUUAAUCUUUCUCGACCUCCACAUUUGGCUCAGGAGGUAUUUACUUGGGUCCUGCAACUAGGCCUGGUUGUGGAAACCCAGGACUGAUUGUGAAUGUCAGGUUUUGGGUUGUUGCUUUUGGUGGGACUUACUCUUUGGGGCCCAUCAUUUGGAGUGUGUGGUGUUAAGUUUUUUAGUAACUAGGUGGAAAUGAGACCGCCAAGGCAAGCGAGGGUCCAAGAACAGAUUUUAUUGCAGGCACCCUCGGGCGAGGUUCCACGACUCACGGGGGAAAGAGAGUGAGUCGAGGAAGUCGCGCCAAGACAAGGUGGUAGGGGGUUUACAGAACGUUGUAAGGCAGAACGGUUUCCUAUUGGUUGGCUCAUAUGCAAAGGAAGGAUUGCAAUCCAACCAGUCAGAGUGAUCCUCACUAUGCAAAGGAAGGAUUGCAAUUCGACCAGUCAAAGGUGACUUCCUCCUCUGGGGUUUGAAGGGCAUUGGGUUCGGUUGGGGAAGUCCAAAGGAGAGGUGUAAGGGUCUGCUCAAGCUGUCAGCAGGUCAUUGGUCCAUUGGCGUCCCAAGUGGAGGUGGUGACAGGAACCUCAGCCAUUUUGGCGUAUCCGCCAUCUUGAGGAGUUUCCCUUCCCGCCUGGCCCCAACAUGUGGAACAUCCAACACGCAUUGAUUUGUUGGGGUUGGGUGGGUGGAGAUGAGCUUGCUGUGUUUGAAAUAUACUUGGUUUGGGGGUCAGUGUUUGGAGUCCCUGGGGGUUUUGGGGGAGUAGGAGAAGUUUUGGCCUGGGACAAACAUCCUAUAGUGAUGGUGGACUGAACUAGUGGGGCUUGCAUCUAAGCAGUUUUUUGAGUGGGGGUAGGUCUGCUUCUCUGGGACCUGUUGUCUCAGGUUUGUCUUGGCAUUUUGCUUUGUGGCAAAGAUUUUGGAGUUUGGUUGUCAUGUGAGUGGCCAGUUUGGCUUAUUCCCCCUUUUCUGAUUUUCCUUUGUGUGUUGUGGGUCAAACCUCUGGCCUGGGACUUAGUGGAGUUCAGUAGGACGGGGACCUUUGACUUUGACUUUGCUGACUCUUGGAUUCAUUUCUGGCAUCUGAUUGGGUCCAGGAAUCAGGGCUUUACUUUUAGUUUUAGUUUUUUGUAAGGACAAAUUGUAAGCCUACCAGUAGAGUAGUACAAUGAACCCCCAUGGACCUAUCAUAUAUUCAACAUUUAUUUAUUUAUUUUUAAAGAUUUUGUUUAUUCAUGAGAGACACAGAGAGGCAGAGACCUAGGCAGAGGGAGAAACAGGCUCCCUGUGGGGAGCCCAAUGCAGGACUAGAGUCCCAGGACCCUGGGAUCACGACCUGAGCCAAGAUCAACCACUGAGCCACGCAGGAGCCCCUAUAUUCAACAUUAAUAAAUGGGCAGCCAAUCUUGUUCCAUAUACAUCCCCUCAAUGCUAUGUGUGGAUACACUUAGUUGUUACAGGGCUUGACCACUACUGACAUUACCACUGUUGCAAAUGGCUUGGCACUGUACAGCUAGAGUUCAAAUCUAGGAACUUUCUAGCUUUGUCAGCUUGAGCAAGAUUUAUAACUGCCUCAGUUUAUCAUAAGACCUAGCCUAUGGGGUCUUCAAGAGGUAAAAUUUGUACAGUGCCUGGAAUUGUGUCUGGCAUACAGUAAGAGUUUAGUAAAUGUUAACUGUUCCUAAUAAUAUUACAACUUGAAGCCCAGAGGCAUUAAAAACGAUCAAUUCUCUAUUUAAUUUUUUUUUUUUAGAUUUUAUUUAUUUAUUCAUGAGAGACACACAGAGAGAGGCAGAGACACAGGCAGAGAGAGAAGCAGGUUCCAUGCAGGGAGCCUGACGUGAGACUUGAUUCCAGGACUCCAGGAUCACGCCCUGAGCCAAACGCAGAUGCGCAACCGCUGAACCACCCAGGUGUCCCUCAAUUCCCUAUUUAAUAGGAACAUGUCAGGGUAGGUUGUACUCUAAUGCCCACACCUGAUUUUGUCCGUUAGAAGCUGUCUACAUUCUUCUUUGAGGGAUCUGAAGCUUUCUUUUUCUUUUUCCUUCAAAGGAAGGGGAGCACCCCUCCUUUAAACUUGGGGAUUUCUAGCCUGGUAUCUGGGGGCCAGGAGAUAGUCCUGAAGCUCACAGUACCUCUUUCAUCCUCACCACCUGCUUAUAUCCCUGCUUGCCCAGAGAGGAGUGGGUGGAGAAAGAGAAGACUUCUGGACUCCUGGAGCCCACUUUUGGGUGUGGACCACUGACCUUGUGCAUUCCUACAGUGCUUUCUGAGUUCCAAACCAUGGGCGAAGUUCCUUUGCUUUUUCUGACAUCUUGUGUCCUGCAGUGUCCUAUUUGAGACACAGAGACCUUGUUUAUUUCUCUAGGAUCCCAGGGCAGAUUAAGGUCAGGGGCCUUUACAGAGAAUAUUACUCCAGACCAGGUUGCCACCAUCCUUCCCCCAGCAACUUUUCUCUAUAAGUUUAUUCCUAUACAUCUGUGUUCUUGAUGCUUUUGGAAAUGCUUUUUUAAAUGUAAGUUUCGGGAUCCCUGGGUGGCGCAGCGGUUUGGCGCCUGCCUUUGGCUCAGGGCGCGAUCCUGGAGACUGGGGAUCAAAUCCCACGUCGGGCUCCCGGUGCAUGGAGCCUGCUUCUCCCUCUGCCUGUGUCUCUGCCUCUCUCUCUCUGUGUGACUAUCAUAAAUAAAUAAAAA